AAGCUAGUAGGCUGGGCAAAUUGAUUAGACUUUUGCUGUAUGUAAUCUAAAUAGCAUUUCUGGUUAACUCUUUCCUUCCUCUUAUUUUCAGGCCCCACUGUUUAUCCUGCAGUUACUCAUCUCUAUCAAACCAUGAACGGGCUCAGAUUUCCUCAAGGUAAUCUGGCUUCCCAGAAACCUCCUGCUAAAUGCAAGGGUUUGCUGUCCUGUUUACUGACUGUUACACCUGAGGCUGGUUUUAAUACAGAUUCUGGACAUCAUAAGAUAACACGUGCCAGGAAGCCGGGAUUUAGCCCCCGACCUUGGCGUUGCACAUGGAGGCUGCUCCUAACACUGCCCCAGCCGCCUGUGUGCUGUCCACGCCUCAGCUCCCAUGCCAUUAAAGCGGAGAUUAUAUACUCUUAUUUGCCAGAGUGCUGCAAGACCGACGGUAGCCGUUAAAUGCUUUUAGUUCCUCGGGAGAAAACAGCUAUAAAAAAGGCAAAAUAUGUAUGUUUAUAGUGUAAAAUACAUGCUUGUGGUUGUAUGUUAACUCCAUACUCAUACUAGGUUGCUUUUAAACCAGGGAAGUAUACUUUCUAAUGUUUUGUGUUGCCGUACAAAUUAGAUGCUUUUAUCCAGAUUACUCGUUGGAAAUCGAAGGAGACGCACACAAGGGUUGCUAGGAUGCCCUUAUUUUUCACAUUCAAGAUUUGGAAGUAGAACUAAAGGUUCAGAACAUCUGAUUCUUUGAAAAAUUAAGUCCUUUCACGGAAGCAGUUAAAUAUUUUUUGUCAGCUCUGAUAAUAAUGAGUUUUUGGUGCUGGGAUGAGCGAUAAUUGCAAAUGGCAAAAAGUCAUCAGAACGUUGUUACUCAGAUUGCAGAUUUUAUUAAUCGUAAAAGAAAUUAUUCACCUAGAAAGGCUAUUUUAUAAGUGCUCAUUUACAUGGAGACUCACUGCCUAAUUUAUUUUGUUUAAAAACAAAAACAAAAAAUAACGGCUUUGUCCGCUCCUUCAAAGCCCUUCAUUAUUCUGACCUUCCCGUCUGGUUUGUUACAAUGUCAUGUAUGCUGCUACUUAUCAAUGGGACCCCUCUCAUUUUUGCUCCUUCUCUCUCCCAAAUGUAUCUUCUUGUUCUUGGGUUUAUUCCAUCAGCUGAUAUUACUGUGUAUCUCUGCACCGCAUGCAUUGCUUCCACAAUUAAGCAGAUGGUUUGUCUCCUAUGAAGGACUCCUUAGGUAGAGGUGUUGUUUGGCCUUUUACUUUACAUGUUUCUGACCAAAUGAGGUAUUGGAAAUUGCAGGCAUAAAUUAAAUUUUCCUCUUUUUCUCCCAUUUCUUUUGUAUUGUUUUGAACCUGAGUCCUGAUUAAGUAAAGAAACUGAGCACGUUCCUCACUGUAAGAAGGCAAUUAGUCAACGAGACUGCCCUGUGUGCUCAAAACAGGGUACAUACUUAAGU
ensembl:lncRNA